GAGAAAUGGAAGCACCUGUGAAAUACUCAGACUCACAAUGCUCAGGAAACACAGGGAUGGCAUCUUUCUCUUCCUACCUGUUUACUCUGAGUUCCCAGGGCUACUCUAACCAAGGAUCACAAAUGUGGGGGCUUAAACAACAGAAUUUCAUUGUCUGGUAGUUCUGAAGGCCAGAAGCACAGUCCAGCAGCAGGCUGGCUCACUCUGAGGGCUGUGAGGGAGGUUGUGUUCCAGCCACUCUCCUUAGCUUGUGAUAACCACCUUCUCCCCAUGUCUCUCCCGCUGUUCCUGUCUGUGGUCAAAACUCCUCUCCCUACAAGCAUGGCAGUCACACUGGAUUAGAACUGAGCCUAACAGCCUCAUUUCAACAUGAGAAGUCACUAGCGCCAAUAAGGUCACACACUGAGGAACUUCAACAUAUGAAUUUUUAAGGUCUCAAUUCAACACAUAAUGCUACGUCUGGCAAUUAUUUUAAAAUCGCUUGACCUUAGCCAAAAGGCCAAGAAGCAAUUAAAAAUUAUUUUAAAGUUCUAGCAAGGAACAAUAAUCAGCAGGAGUCUUCUGGGAUAUCAAAAGAAAAAAAGAGAAGAGAAAGGCCUUUGGCUGUGCGACAUGCAGUUGGACCUGUGCCCCCCCAGCCCCCAGGCUGGGCCCACAGCAUCUGGAGCCCAUGUUCCCACCCGGCAGGGAGGAGGCUCUCCCCUCACUGCUAAAUACACUGCCCACCAUUGCCUGGAACCCAUAAAUGCCUCGCUGGUGAUAGGGCAUCUGAGCUCUUCUGGCUGAUAAAAGCUUUGAGUUUCACUGAGCUUGGUUCUCCAGGUACUUUUUGGCUCAGGAUCAAUCCAACUGAAUACUUGUGUGUCAUCCAUACACACUUCCUGUGCAGGGGGACACUCCAGGAUGGAGCCGCCCCAGGUCUAGGGGGGCCCCCUCCCUAAGGGUGGGUAUGUGGUCCCAUAUUCCCUGGGACUCUGACCCUGCUCUGAUGCAGAUGUGACUGUGUCUCUGUUCAUCUGUCUCUCUCAUUAGCCUGUGUCUGCCUUGUUCCCUGUGUCCUCUUAACAGCUGACCCUAGGACAGCUGAUCCUUCUGGACUAGUCAGCAAAUCCCAAAUUGCUUGUGCCAGGGAACUGCCUCCUGAGACCCAGCCAUUCUCAGCAAACUGAGCCAGCUGAGGCCAGACGUGCUGCCUGCAAUCUGAGGCGGGAGUGCAGGGAGCAAGUUUGGGCAAUUGGAGGGCUGCCUAGGAAGGUGUGUGACUAGGAGUCUGAGGACGGGAGGAAGGCUGGUGCAAAUGGACGUGAAGGUCUCCCACAGGGUCAGUGGUGCCACCCACCUACCCGCGCAUUCAUUUGUUCCACAGCUACUUCUUCAGCACCUGCUCUGGGACAGACAUAAUACCAGGUGCUGAGAAUGACCCAGUGAACAGAUCAAAGCACCUGUCUUCACGGGGCCAACAUCUCAGCAGAGACACAAACGAAAGUCAGAGCAAUGUGCCAACACCAUGCCCAGCACUGCAGGAUAAGUGCAGUGUGAUGAGACCACAGUGGAGCGAGGGUGUGGUCCUGUAGAUGGGGCCUGGAGAGGAAGGCUUUAGGGGAGAGGAAGCCGUGUGAAUACCCGGGAGAGCAAGGCCGGCAGGUCGGAGCUACAGAAGGCGCCCAGCAAGGUGGCCCACAGAGUCAUCAGCAGUCAGAGCUGACGCUUGUAGGACCAUUAGAGGGGUGUUAUCACCCCGCUUCAUCAAUGAAGGAACUGCAACAUGCAUGGAUUAAGUGGUUUGUCAGGCACUGAGACAGUCAUGGCUGAGCCUGGAGUGACGUGGCAGGUGUACACCCCACCUCCGGGCUGUCCUGGGAUUAGAGCCUCUGCACAUGUAUAGCAGUCACUGUCCCACCACCCCUCACCGGCUGCCCCCACGCCCUUCAAGGAGCUGCUCAAAUUCAUUUAUUCCCUCAGUAAGGGCUUGUUAACCUCCACUGCAUGCAAACCGUGUGCCAGGAGAAGGGGUCAGGAGGCUAGCCAGAGCAGAGGCAACCCCCGGGUGGUUACACUCACAGAGGAGGAAGUGCAGGAUGCCGUGAGGACACAGAGGAGGACCACGUAUUCGUGUUUCAGCAGGCCAAGAGUCACAGGAGCCUUCCUGGAGAGGGUGACCUGGAGCCAGGUCAUCCCAGGCCCCAGGGGACAGCCCUUCUACCUCAGCUUUCACUGGGAGACUCUUGUAUGCAGCCAGCCCCACGAGGCCAUCCAUCCGGUCAUCAGCAUGUCCACUCUAACUGUCCUGUAAGCACCAGCCACUAUAUUUUCCUUCCCCUAAUGUGCCCCAUCUUCCUCCCACCCUCACACCAUCACUAGCCCCAGCUGGAGCAGCCGACAGACGGCUCCUGUUCCUGGCAGGAGCGCUGUAGAGCCAUGCAAGUUUCCAUGGUACAUGUCAGGCGUCCUCCCUGGCCGGAACCGUCCUCCCUGGCCGGAACCGGGUAUGGGGCCACAGCACCGAUUGCACCCCCUGCUGAAGUCCCAGUAGGAGGGCAGCUGUGGCAGGAUGAGGAGGGAGGGGCAGGCCGGGCCUACUCCUGGAGUUGUGCUGGGAAGGAGAGAAGCAGCCGGGAAGGAACCAUGAGGCCUUGGAAAGACAAGAAAGGGAAAACCAGCAGCUGGGCUGGGAGAACCCUGCAGCCCGGCCGCCCGGGGCCUUCUCUGCCAACAGUGAGUCCCGGGGCUGCCGCCCACAAACUGUGCCUCUACUUUCUUCCCAGGGUGGGAAGAAAGGUGAGGAAAUGGGUAGCUCUCAGCAGACGGUUAAAGUCUCUCACAGGAGUUGUUUUUGAUGUCUGCUCGGAGACAGAGCCAAGUCCCAGGGGGCUAAGUUUGUGGUUCCAGGAAGAAGAGCCAUGUUGACAGGGAAUCCUUGGAUUGGCCUCAUUUCAUGAAAAACAAGCUGCCAGACCAAAUGGGAAGUGGAGCUCAGCAGAGAAGUCCCAGAGCUCACAGGACACACGGUUGGCUCCUGAUGUGCUGCUUCUCAGCAGGUCAGCCUGUGCCCACAGCCUUGGCGCCUCUCAGACUUCCUGUUAUCAGUGGGGAGGGAAGUCUGAGGCGGAGAGAUGACAGGGACCAGAGCAGCUGCCCUACGGCAGUUUCCGACUCCAGUGCCUGCCAGCCGUGUCCUGCAAAGAAGCCUCAGCUGUCCAGUCCCGGUCCGUGGGAGGAAGGCCGGCCCUAUGCAUCAGAAAGGUGAAUGACAGAUUCCACUCAUGAAGCAGUUAGGCUGAGACCUCAAACAGCUUAACCUCUGCAUGUCUGGGCUCCUCUGGCUGAUAAAUGAAGACAAAACACCUACACCAUUAGGCUCCUUAAAAGAGUAAAUCAGGACAAACGUGAAAUGAAUGCUCCCUCAGCACCCUCAUCACACGAGGCCACUGAAGUUCCCAGCUCCACCUUUCCCACCUCACUGCUCGACCCAGGGCCCACUGGGGACUGCCCGUGCCUCCGUAGGGGCUUAGGAGAGCAACCUGAGUGACUGGGCUCAUCUUUUCAUGCCAGGCUGCUCAUCAAAGACCACUGGACAUCAGAAACACUUGGGGUCGGGGCUCACUCCUGAUCCUCAGGUCUUGAGAUUUUAUGCUGUCUCUACAAGGGCUGGCUGAGGAUCCCCCCAGGAGGGGCUGAGGGGUGGGCAGCUCCAGGACCUUGCUUUUUGUCUCAGGACACAGUGACCCAGUGGCCGCCAUAAGUGGCUUAUCUAGUCCAGGAGCUGGGCCACUGAGAUGCAAAACGUGAGCUCUACUCCCCAGAUUCGGGGAGGUUCAGGCCCCAUCUAUAGAGACAGCCAAAGACCCAGUGAAGCCAGCAGGAAGCAGACAGUGUGUGGGCAGCCCCUGCCAGGGUGCCCUGCAAAGCCACAUCUGUGUCUGUGGUUCACCUGUGACGGCUCCGUGGGGACGAGCGGCUGAAGAAAACACUGGCUUUGAGUAAGAAUGUUUUUGUAAAACCCAGGUUCCUGGAGGCACAGAGACAUAGCCUAAGAUGGCCAAGUGAGAACAAUGGCAGACAUGGGGACCUCUGUGUCACUGUGAGCUACUGGCUUCACCCUGUUGAUUGAACUUGACAAGGCUUCUCGCUCAGACAACUGCCCGGUGCCAGCAACAGCUGGUCUGGCCAUGCUUUGUUUUUAGGCUUUUUAAUUGGUUGGUCCAAUUCUCUGAAUAAAUGGAAUCAAUGGGUUGUUUAACUUAUUAAUCAAGUGUCAGACAUUAUUAA